rnacentral:rRNA from 1 species
GUUAAGCGACUAAGCGUACACGGUGGAUGCCCUGGCAGUCAGAGGCGAUGAAGGACGUGCUAAUCUGCGAUAAGCGUCGGUAAGGUGAUAUGAACCGUUAUAACCGGCGAUUUCCGAAUGGGGAAACCCAGUGUGUUUCGACACACUAUCAUUAACUGAAUCCAUAGGUUAAUGAGGCGAACCGGGGGAACUGAAACAUCUAAGUACCCCGAGGAAAAGAAAUCAACCGAGAUUCCCCCAGUAGCGGCGAGCGAACGGGGAGCAGCCCAGAGCCUGAAUCAGUGUGUGUGUUAGUGGAAGCGUCUGGAAAGGCGCGCGAUACAGGGUGACAGCCCCGUACACAAAAAUGCACAUGCUGUGAGCUCGAUGAGUAGGGCGGGACACGUGGUAUCCUGUCUGAAUAUGGGGGGACCAUCCUCCAAGGCUAAAUACUCCUGACUGACCGAUAGUGAACCAGUACCGUGAGGGAAAGGCGAAAAGAACCCCGGCGAGGGGAGUGAAAAAGAACCUGAAACCGUGUACGUACAAGCAGUGGGAGCCUCUUUUAUGGGGUGACUGCGUACCUUUUGUAUAAUGGGUCAGCGACUUAUAUUCUGUAGCAAGGUUAACCGAAUAGGGGAGCCGAAGGGAAACCGAGUCUUAACUGGGCGUUAAGUUGCAGGGUAUAGACCCGAAACCCGGUGAUCUAGCCAUGGGCAGGUUGAAGGUUGGGUAACACUAACUGGAGGACCGAACCGACUAAUGUUGAAAAAUUAGCGGAUGACUUGUGGCUGGGGGUGAAAGGCCAAUCAAACCGGGAGAUAGCUGGUUCUCCCCGAAAGCUAUUUAGGUAGCGCCUCGUGAAUUCAUCUCCGGGGGUAGAGCACUGUUUCGGCAAGGGGGUCAUCCCGACUUACCAACCCGAUGCAAACUGCGAAUACCGGAGAAUGUUAUCACGGGAGACACACGGCGGGUGCUAACGUCCGUCGUGAAGAGGGAAACAACCCAGACCGCCAGCUAAGGUCCCAAAGUCAUGGUUAAGUGGGAAACGAUGUGGGAAGGCCCAGACAGCCAGGAUGUUGGCUUAGAAGCAGCCAUCAUUUAAAGAAAGCGUAAUAGCUCACUGGUCGAGUCGGCCUGCGCGGAAGAUGUAACGGGGCUAAACCAUGCACCGAAGCUGCGGCAGCGACGCUUAUGCGUUGUUGGGUAGGGGAGCGUUCUGUAAGCCUGUGAAGGUGUGCUGUGAGGCAUGCUGGAGGUAUCAGAAGUGCGAAUGCUGACAUAAGUAACGAUAAAGCGGGUGAAAAGCCCGCUCGCCGGAAGACCAAGGGUUCCUGUCCAACGUUAAUCGGGGCAGGGUGAGUCGACCCCUAAGGCGAGGCCGAAAGGCGUAGUCGAUGGGAAACAGGUUAAUAUUCCUGUACUUGGUGUUACUGCGAAGGGGGGACGGAGAAGGCUAUGUUGGCCGGGCGACGGUUGUCCCGGUUUAAGCGUGUAGGCUGGUUUUCCAGGCAAAUCCGGAAAAUCAAGGCUGAGGCGUGAUGACGAGGCACUACGGUGCUGAAGCAACAAAUGCCCUGCUUCCAGGAAAAGCCUCUAAGCAUCAGGUAACAUCAAAUCGUACCCCAAACCGACACAGGUGGUCAGGUAGAGAAUACCAAGGCGCUUGAGAGAACUCGGGUGAAGGAACUAGGCAAAAUGGUGCCGUAACUUCGGGAGAAGGCACGCUGAUAUGUAGGUGAAGCGACUUGCUCGUGGAGCUGAAAUCAGUCGAAGAUACCAGCUGGCUGCAACUGUUUAUUAAAAACACAGCACUGUGCAAACACGAAAGUGGACGUAUACGGUGU